rnacentral:rRNA from 1 species
CAGCCGCCGCGGGAAUACGUAGGUGGCAAGCGUUGUCCGGAAUUAUUGGGCGUAAAGCGCGCGCAGGCGGAUCAGUUAGUCUGUCUUAAAAGUUCGGGGCUUAACCCCGUGAUGGGAUGGAAACUGCUGAUCUAGAGUAUCGGAGAGGAAAGUAGAAUUCCUAGUGUAGCGGUGAAAUGCGUAGAUAUUAGGAAGAACACCAGUGGCGAAGGCGACUUUCUGGACGAAAACUGACGCUGAGGCGCGAAAGCCAGGGGAGCGAACGGGAUUAGAUACCCCAGUAGUCCCUGUCUCUUAUACA